AACUUCAUCACCAAUUCACGUCAGUUUUCGGAGGGGACUUUUAUCUCGUGUUUACAAGAUGUCUGAAGGUGCCGCCAUCUGUCAAAUUGAUGAAUGCAGGAUGUUGACUUGUUGCGAUAAUGGACCAUGCAGUUGUGAUGGUACAUGCCAGUGCCCGAAAUGUGGAGUUCAAUGCUCCUGCAUCGGUUCAUGCAAAUGUGGAGUAGGAUGCAACGGACCAUCAUCGUGUAGAUGUGAUGUUGGCCCAUGCUCAUGUAGACCGGCCAAAUCUAACAAAUAGCCGGAGAGCCGUCAUCAAUGGACGUUUUUGUGGUUAUCUUACUCCAGCGUUCGGGACCGAGUUCAUUUCUUCAUGUUACUGACAUUUGACAUUACAUUGAUCAGAACAUAAUACAUAUAUCCACCUUUAAACCUCCAAAGCAAGAACUUGAUGUCGCGGACACACUCAUCGAAAUAUGGUGUCUUUAUUUGAUUCUCCAAAACCAAGAGCUGGUUUUCCCGGACUCAAAUAUCAGAUUAAGUCAAUUUUUGAAUGUCCUAAGCAAGAGUUAUUUCUCUCGGAUAACUGAAAUUAUGUUAAUAAGAAAACACUAAUUCUUAACAUAAUUGGUCAUUUUGACGUUUUGUAUAGUUGUUGUAAAUAUGUUAUAAUCAUAGUUGUUCUAAGUAUGUAAUAAACAAUUUGUUAUUUA